UGAGGAAUAUUGGUCAAUGGGCGGAAGCUUGAACCAGCCAUCCCGCGUGCAGGAAGACAGCCCUAUGGGUUGUAAACUGCUUUUCCAGUGGGCGAAACACUCGUACGUGUACGAGAUUGACGGUACACUGGGAAUAAGCAUCGGCUAACUCCGUGCCAGCAGCCGCGGUAAUACGGAGGAUGCAAGCGUUAUCCGGAUUUAUUGGGUUUAAAGGGUGCGUAGGCGGAUGAAUAAGUCAGUGGUGAAAGGCUGCAGCUUAACUGUAGACUUGCCGUUGAUACUGUUUAUCUUGAGUAUGGUCAAGGCAGGCGGAAUGUGUAAUGUAGCGGUGAAAUGCUUGGAUAUUACACAGAACACCGAUUGCGAAGGCAGCUUGCCGGGCCAUUACUGACGCUGAUGCACGAAAGCGUGGGGAGCGAACAG
rnacentral:rRNA from 1 species